AGUCCAUCUGCAAACUUCAGAUGUUUCCAGCCUUUUGUCCUCUGCAUGAUUAUCCUAUGAUAAUAUUAUAAUAAUAAACAUGGCUUCUAUUAGGAGAUUCACUGUUGCAUGCUUUAUAAAUUUAAUUGAUGCUCUUGCUAUAAAAUAUCUGUAUAGGCCCUUUAAAAUAUUUCUUCAUUGUUUAUUUUUUCUUAAACUAUUAUUUUGCUAGUUGAAAUUCGAGUUUUUUAAUGGGAUAUUUAGAUAUCCAUGCAGCCCAGGUUUCCUUGUUAGUUUUUAUCUUGCAUUUGCUUUUGUUGAGUCAUGUUAACAUUAAUACAGUGCUCUAGCAUUAAACAUUUUUUGUUAGAUAUGUUUAUCAUGAUA
rnacentral:lncRNA from 1 species